GACGAACGCUGGCGGCGUGCUUAACACAUGCAAGUCGAACGAUGAAGCGGUGCUUGCACCGUGGAUUAGUGGCGAACGGGUGAGUAAUACGUGAGUGACCUACCUUUGACUCUGGGAUAAGCCUGGGAAACUGGGUCUAAUACCGGAUACGACCAAUCUCUGCAUGGGGUGUUGGUGGAAAGCGUUAUGGAGUGGUUUUAGAUGGGCUCACGGCCUAUCAGCUUGUUGGUGAGGUAAUGGCUUACCAAGGCGACGACGGGUAGCCGGCCUGAGAGGGUGACCGGCCACACUGGGACUGAGACACGGCCCAGACUCCUACGGGAGGCAGCAGUGGGGAAUAUUGCACAAUGGGCGCAAGCCUGAUGCAGCGACGCCGCGUGAGGGAUGACGGCCUUCGGGUUGUAAACCUCUGUUAGCAUCGAAGAAGCGAAAGUGACGGUAGGUGCAGAGAAAGCGCCGGCUAACUACGUGCCAGCAGCCGCGGUAAUACGUNAGGCGCGAGCGUUGUCCCGGAUUAUUGGGCGUAAAGAGCUUGUANGCGGUUGGUCGCGUCUGCUGUGAAGGCCGGGGCUUAACUCCGGUUUUGCAGUGGGUACGGGCUAACUAGAGUGCAGUAGGGGAGACUGGAAUUCCUGGUGUAGCGGUGGAAUGCACAGAUAUCAGGAGGAACACCGAUGGCGAAGGCAGGUCUCUGGGCUGUAACUGACGCUGAGAAGCGAAAGCAUGGGGAGCGAACAGGAUUAGAUACCCUGGUAGUCCAUGCCGUAAACGUUGGGCACUAGGUGUGGGGGACAUUCCACGUUUUCCGCGCCGUAGCUAACGCAUUAAGUGCCCCGCCUGGGGAGUACGGCCGCAAGGCUAAAACUCAAAGGAAUUGACGGGGGCCCGCACAAGCGGCGGAGCAUGCGGAUUAAUUCGAUGCAACGCGAAGAACCUUACCAAGGCUUGACAUGCAUUAGAUCGCGUCAGAGAUGGCGUUUCCCUUCGGGGCUGGUGUACAGGUGGUGCAUGGUUGUCGUCAGCUCGUGUCGUGAGAUGUUGGGUUAAGUCCCGCAACGAGCGCAACCCUCGUUCUAUGUUGCCAGCGGUUCGGCCGGGGACUCAUAGGAGACUGCCGGGGUCAACUCGGAGGAAGGUGGGGAUGACGUCAAAUCAUCAUGCCCCUUAUGUCUUGGGCUUCACGCAUGCUACAAUGGCCGGUACAGAGGGUUGCGAUACUGUGAGGUGGAGCUAAUCCCUUAAAGCCGGUCUCAGUUCGGAUUGGGGUCUGCAACUCGACCCCAUGAAGUCGGAGUCGCUAGUAAUCGCAGAUCAGCAACGCUGCGGUGAAUACGUUCCCGGGCCU
rnacentral:rRNA from 1 species